rnacentral:lncRNA from 1 species
GGUGGCUGAGUUGAAGAGGGUUUUGGGCGAAAAAGGAGUGAAAUUGGAGGAACUAGAGAGGGAAGUUGAUGGGUUGAAGAAAGAGAAAGUUGAGAGUGAGAAGAAAGUUAGGGAAUUGGAGAGGAAUGUUGGCUUGUUGGAAGUGAGGGAGAUGGAGGAGAAGAGUAAAAGGGUGAGGGUUGAGGAGGAAAUGAGGGAGAAACUUGAUGAGAAAGAUAGGGAAAUUUCUGGGUUUAAGAAGAAAGUUGAUGAUUUGGAGUCUGAAUUGGGUAACUGUAAGUCUGAGAAGAACUCUGCGGAGAAAACGGUGAAGGAGAUGGACGAAAGGAUU